GCACCUGCUGCUUUCCUGUUCCUCGCUGUGCAGUGCCAGGUCUGGGGGCACCCGGUGCUACAGCACAGCAGUGGAAAUCCAGAUGGGUUCUGCUCCAUUGGUUUGGGACUUAUCUCUACACCCCUGCAACACAG
rnacentral:snoRNA from 1 species